rnacentral:tmRNA from 1 species
GGGGAUGAAAGGAUUUCGACGGGGAUCCUGAACCGUGAUAAGCGAGCAGCGGUGCGGGACCGCUAUAAAAUCCGCAGUUUAAAAAUAAACGAGAACAAUAGAGUUUUAGCAGCUGCUUAAAGUAUAAGCAGCCGUCUUUACCGAAACUACCGCGGUUCGGAUAAAGGCGUCGACUAGCGGUGAACGUGAACGGACGAGUGUUCCAUAGUCCGUCAUGAAUAAUGGAACUACCCGACACCGAAGCCUGCCGUUUGGCGUCGGUCGAGGGGAAGUUUAAAUAAACGGCUACGCUCGUAGAAAGUUGCGGGAAUGGAUUUUCGGACGCGGUUUCGAUUACCGCCAUCUCCACCA